rnacentral:lncRNA from 1 species
AGGAAUGAAGGCCCUCUCUUUGGGUGAUUAGCCUUUGCUUAUGCAAAGAUGAAUCUACAAAGGUACAAUUUCAACUCACUUUGUUUUUAGUUGAGUCUUGGUUCACCAAUCUACUAGGCUUUGAAUUUCAUGGUUAAUGUUUUGUUUUUAAGUGCAUACAAGCAUGAUUCCGCCUUUAAUUGUUAAUUGCAUGCUUAUAGAUGUUGCUUAAAUGAACAUGUUUUCACAAAAUAUUCCUUCAGGUUGUGCUUGGGGUUGAGUUGGUGCAAACGGCUUUUGAUACAAACCCGAGGGUUGUUGCCUAAAUGUACUUUGUUGUUGGCCUUGUUGGGGUUCUCACCAUUUGAAAUUUGGAUGAUCCCUCCAUCCCGGAUUGUAUGUAUUAGAAAAGGGAUCAUUUAUUUGUUGGUAUGGCUGCCCAAAACCCACGUCAUUGAGGGUCUCCCACCUUCCAUUCUCUAUCAAUUAUGGGCACUUGUCCGUAAGGUGUCCAUGCAUGGAGCACACGCCACAAGUACUUACAUUUUGUAUUUUUGGUCCUUCCACAACCUAAGAAAGAAGAGUAGUAAGGUUAGCCAUUUGAUUUUGAAGUUCGGAGAUGGCACUUACCUCAUUCACUUGGUUUUGCCGUGAGGUGCUCCUUUGUCCAACACCUUCGUACUGUUGAGCAUUCAACGCGAUUCGCAAUCAAUGUCUUUGCAGCCAUGGGAGUCUUGUCCACGAAAGCUCAUCCCGCUGAGGCAUCUAGCAUUUGACGUUCGAUUGGUAGAAGCCCCUCGUAGAAGUAUUGUAGAAGAAGCUCUUCCUUCAUUUGAUGUUGUGGACAAGACGCAACAAGAGAUUUAAAACGUUCAUAAUAAGUAGGAAAAGAUUCACCUUCAUCUUGUUGAAUUCCACUUAUCCUUUUUCGUAAAAGAAUAACUCGAGAAGUUGGGAAAAACUUCUCCAAGAAAGCCCGUUUCAUGCUCUCCCAAGAUGUGACAGUUCCAGGAGCUAAUUCAUACAACCAAUCUUUUGCCUUUUCCAAGAGAGAAAAGGGAAAGGCCUUCAUCUUCAAUAUGCUCCCAUCGACGUUGAUUGGAGUCAUGCUUAAACACACCACCUCGAAUUGUUUCAAGUGCUUGUUAGGAUCCUCCAUGGACAACCUGUUAGGAGUAUUAAGAUCCAAUGGGUAGGAAAUGGACAAGUGUCAAAAGAUCAUGAAGAUAGUUAAGUUGGUUAUAUUGUUACUUAGAGUGUAAGCUACAAAGUGUUAGGAUAUAUAGCUUGUAACAAUUCAUUGUAACUGAUAAGAAAAGAAAUAACAGUUCUCAACAGUUUUCUCUCUCUAAUAUCUUCGACAUUCUUUUUCUCUCUCUAUCUCUUUCUUCCUUCUUGCUUCUGUAUAAUUCUUUCCUUAGAUAAUCUCAGAUGGUUUACAUGGUAUCAUCGCCGGAACAAGCAUAAAAGCUUGACGGAUUUGUCGAUCUUGGUUUUCAUUGCUUCCGCUAUUGUGAUUGGUUUCUGGUUCAUUAGUAUAUUGUGAUUGGAUUUGAUUCGUUUAUGAUAUUUGGGGUAUUUUCUCUGUACUCCUCCGUCCGGUUCUUCAAUCUUCCGAACGUGCCUACCAACUGUUUGUGGUUUGGUUUCUGUCAAGAUUUCGUGUGAUUUCUUUACAAUUUGCAACAAUGGUGACAACUGCUUAGUUACAGAUCUUACAAUCUCCAAUUACUUCUUUGAUUACAUCUAUUUCCAGUUCGGUUAAUGUGAAAUUGGAUGAGACGAACUAUUUAGCUUGGCAUUUCCAAAUGCAGCUCUUGCUUGAAGGUCAUAGCAUAAUUGGUUUUGUUGAUGGUUCAAUGUCCUGUCCUGCUCAAUUCAGUCACGAUUCCUCUGAUGGUUCAGCAAUUUUGUCUGGUGAUUCUUCUACAAGGGUUCCGACUGAUGAUUACAAGAUAUGGAAGAUGCAUGAUAAAGCGUUGAUGCAAUUAAUUACUGCAACCUUGUCUCCUGCUGCAGUUUCUUGUGUAAUUGGAAGUACUAGUUUUAAAGAACUGUGGAAUCGCCUCAAAGACCAGUUUUCUACAGUCACAAGAACAAGUAUCUUUCAACUCAAAUCUAAGCUUCAGACAAUUAAGAAGGGUAAUGAUUCUGUCACAUUAUAUUUGCAGAAAAUUAAAGAAGCAAGAGAUUUAUUGUCUGCUACUGGUGUAUUUUUUGAUGAUGACGACAUUGUGAUUCUUACGUUAAAUGGGCUGCCUACUGAAUUCAAUACCAUCAGAUCUGUGAUUAGGGGCCGUGAAACUGUGAUAUCACUGAAAGAUCUUCGAUCUCAAUUACUUGCUGAAGAAAAUUUACUUGAGAAAGACUCUAAUUCACCUGUGUUAUCUACAUUUAUGGCACAAAGCAAUAGUUUUCCUUCCAAGAAUCAGUCUUUCUCUGGUUCUGGUACUACUCAUAGCAGUUCUAAUUCUACUGGCUACAAGGCAUUCAACUACAACAAUAAGGGUAGAAAUCGGUUCAAUUCCAACUUUACUCCGAAGUUUGGUAACAACAAAAUUUUUCAACCGAACCAUGCUCCUGGAAUUCUUGGUACAUCUCCACCAAGGGCUCAAAACUAUGGUGUUCACAAUCAACCAUGUCAGAUUUGUGGGAAGAGUAAUCAUUUGGCUUCUACUUGUCAGUUUCGGAAUACAAACACCUUUCAAGGCUGUCAAAUUUGUGGUAAAACAAUCACUUUGCUGAUACCUGCAGAUAUAGGAAUGCAGUUGCUUCUUCAAGCUGUUAGAUUUGUGGCAAUCCUUAUCAUACUGCAGAAACUUGUUUUUAAAAGAAUUCUAAUUCACUAAUGAAUGCAAUGCAUGCUGCUACUUCUCCUUUUUCAGUACCACCUGCACCUACACAGCAACAAGUUUGGCUUACUGAUUCAGGUGCAAAUAAUCAUAUGACUUCCGAGUUGAGCAAUCUUUCCUUAGCUACUACAUAUCCUGCAAAUGAAGUAAUCCAGACCGCUAAUGGUGAAGGUUUAGCUAUCUCUCACAUUGGUUUCUCUCUCUUAUCAACUUCAAUGCAGCCUAUAAAGCUCAAUUAUGUCUUAUAUGUUUCGAAACUAUCACAAAACUUGUUGUCUGUACAUAGAAUCUGUUUGGAUAACAACUGCUAGUUGAUCUUCGAUGCUUUUUCUUUUUGGAUUCAGGACAAAACCACAUGGAGGAUUCUCUACAAAGGGCUGUGUAACAAUAGAUUGUAUCCCAUCAUCUCAUCAUGUUCUCCUCCAGUCAACAAUAAAGGACAACCUGUAGCUUUUCUUGGCAAACAAGUCACUGUCAGUAUUUGGCAUAAGAGGCUUGGUCACCCGUCCAAUCAAAUAGUUUCUCAGAUGUUAAGCACUUCCAAAAUUCCUUGUGUUGCUGAUAGUACUCUUUCUCUGUGUCAAACCUGUCUAGAGGGCAAGUUUAGUAAACUUCCUUUCUCUCCCUUAGUUCCAAAGUCUGUAAACCCAUUUGGUAUUGUUCAUAGUGACGUGUAGGGCCCUGCUCCUUGUGUGUCUUUAGAGGGAUUCAAGUAUUAUGUGACUUUCAUUGAUCAUUGUACCAAGUACUGUUGGAUUUUUCCAAUCUGCAAUAAAAGUGAUGUCUUCCCAACUUUUGUGUCCUUCUACAAUUUUAUUUUCAAUCAGUUUCAUACAUCCAUAAAAGUUCUUCAAAGUGAUGGUGGUGGUGAGUAUACAAGUAAGGCAUUUCAACAGUUUCUUCUUGAUAAAGGAGUCAGUCACCAGAUGUCAUGCCCUUAUACACCAGAACAAAAUGGCACUGCAGAGAGAAAACAUAGACACAUAAUUGAAACAUCCAUUACCCUAUUACAAACUGCUUCUUUACCAUCUCUGUUUUGGUCCUUUGCCUGUCAAACAUCAGUAUAUUUGAUUAAUAGAAUGCCUUCAUCCACAUUAAAUCAUAAAUCACCAUUUCAGUUGCUGCAUAAUACUCUCCCUGAGAUCCAACACUUGAAAGUUUUUGGGUGUUCAUGUUAUCCUUGGUUAAGACCAUACACUAGCACAAAACUCGAACCUAGAACAACAAAAUGUGUAUUCUUAGGCUAUGCUUCUAAGUAUAAAGGGUUUCUCUGCUAUGAUGUGUCUAGAAAGAAAGUUUAUGUGUCAAGACAUGUGAUUUUUUAUGAAACUGAUUUUCCUUACAAAUCCUUGGUUCUCAAAUAUCAAUCGAUUACUUCUGCACCAUUACCAUCCCUCAUUCCAUCACCUAUUCCAAUACCUAAUCAAAAUAGUGUGCUUGUCUUACCACCAACUCAGAAUCCUUCCACCUUUGGUCAAUCCCUUGAUUCUCCUGAACACCUAAGUUCCGAUACUACAAUGAGUCCUCUGUCAAAUACUGAUAUGCAUCAAGUCUCUCCUGAGCUCCAGUCCAUACCAGAGGCAACUACAAGUUCACACUCCGCAGAAUCAGUAUCUAAUCAAUCCAUUGGUGCAGCAGUUACACAGCCCUUACCUCCUACACUUCAUGUGGUCCCUGAAUUUCGACCUGAACACUUACAAGUGGUUCUAUCUAUCCCACCAAUGAAUCUCCACCUUAUGCAGACACGGUCAAAGAGUGGUAUCUCCAAGAAAAUUGCUCUUUUAGCUGUUAUACAUGAACAUGGAGGGGUUGAUCUGAAUCAAGUUGAGCCUGCCACAUAUAAGUCUACAUUAAAGUUCCUGGUAUGGCAUGAAGCUAUGAAAGAUGAGAUUUUAGCAUUGCAUCAUCAAGGUACAUGGUCUCUGGUACCUCUACCAAGACAUAAAAACUUAGUAGGAUGUAAAUGGGUCUUUAAGAUCAAAAAGAAUGCUGAUGGUUCUAUUGGGAGGUAUAAGGCUCGCCUAGUAGCUAAAGGGUUUAAUCAAGAAGAAGGUAUUGAUUUUGGGGAAACCUUUAGUCCGGUUGCGAAGCCUACAACAGUAAGACUAGUUCUAGCUCUCUCUGCACAUUUUGGUUGGACAUUGCGGUAAUUAGAUGUGAAAAAUGCUUUUCUCCACGAUAUCUUGCAAGAGGAAGUAUACAUGACUCAACCACCUGGAUUUGUUGAUUUAAAGCAUGAAGAUUAUGUGUGCAGGUUGCAUAAAUCUUUAUAUAGAUUAAAACAGGCACCAAGGGCCUGGAAUGAUAGGUUUACUCGAUUUCUCCCAUCCUUGGGAUUCAAAUCCACAUAUGCAGAUUCUUCACUAUUUGUAAAGGUUGUUGACAGUUCUGUGGUGAUUUUACUCCUAUAUGUGGAUGACAUUAUUAUUACUGGUAGUGGCACAUAAGCAAUUACUGAGGUCAUUCAUUCCCUUACCCGAGAGUUUGAUAUUAAAGAUUUGGGACCCCUCCACUAUUUUCUGGGGAUUCAGAUUUUACAGAAGACGGAUGGUUUAUUUCUCUCUCAACACAAGUAUGUUACAGAUUUGCUAACUAAGGCUGAUAUGCUACUGUCUAAACCAUGUGCCACUCCCUGUUUGCCAUACAACAGAUUGCUCAAAGAUGAUGGCAAACCUUAUAAUAAUCCGGCCCUUUAUCGCAGUUUAGUUGGCGCUUUACAGUACCUCACAUUCACUCGACCUGACAUUGCCUUUGCAGUGCAUCAGGUUUGUCAGUUUAUGCAAAAUCCUAUGGAGUCACAUUUCAUGGCAGUGAAACGAAUUUUUAGGUACUUAAAAGCUACUCAAGGUUGUGGCAUUCAUUAUGUCAAGAGUUCACUGGAUAUUACUGCAUAUAGUGAUGCAGAUUGGGCUAGGGAUCCUAAUGAUAGGCGAUCGACUACUGGAAUGGUUGUAUUUUUGGGAUCUAAUCCUAUUUCAUGGUCAUCUAAGAAGCAACAAACUGUUUCUCGCUCAUCCACAGAAGCUGAGUAUCGGGCUUUAUCUACUACAACUGCUGAACUUGAUUGGAUUCACCAAUUGUUACAUUUUCUGCAGGUUCCAGUUGUCGAAAAGCCAAUUCUCUUCUGUGACAACCUAUCUGCUAUCGCACUGACCUUAAAUCCUGUUCAGCAUCAACGUACAAAACACAUAGAAGUUGAAGUACAUUUUGUUCGCGAGCGGGUAGCAAAACAGCAACUGCAGGUGCAUUUUGUCUCUUCCACCGAGCACUUUGUUGAUAUACUUACCAAAGGCUUAUCUGCUCCUCUUUUUCAAACUCAUUGUGCCAAUCUCAGGCUCACAUUCUCUGCCCCUGAGCUUGUGGGGGGAUGUUAGGAGUAUUAAGAUCCAAUAGGUAGGAAAUGGACAAGUGUCAAAAGAUCAUGAAGAUAGUUAAGUUGGUUAUAUUGUUACUUAGAGUGUAAGCUACAAAGUGUUAGGAUAUAUAGCUUGUAACAAUUCAUUGUAACUGAUAAGAAAAGAAUAACAGUUUUCUCUCUCUAAUAUCUUCGACAUUCUUCUUCUCUCUCUAUCUCUUUCUUCCUUCUUGCUUCUGUAUAAUUAUUUCCUUAGAUAAUCUCAGAUGGUUUACACAACCCAUGGUACUUCGGAAUGUGGUGUAGCAAACUUGACUUCAACUCGAAUUCCUCGGUCUUUCCUUGGGCAGCCGCGGGAUAUUGAAUACAUAAGGGUGCGGCACUGUCCAAUCCCGAAGCCAAAAGCUCCUUGAUUGUACGAUUGUCUUGUGCCAUGACUUCCUUUACUUCACCCACUAUUGUCGUGGGUUCCUCUUCUUCAACCUCAACUUCGGCUUCUGAAUUUGAACUUGAUUCACUAGGUUCUGGAUUCUUCCUUUUUCGUCUCAAUUCUCGCUCGAAAUCGUCGUCAAAGUCCAAGAUGUGUUCACGAAUCGGAUGAGAACUUUGAGUCAUAAACUAGUAGCUAAAACAAGAAACAAAAACAAGGUCAGAAUCUGGACAAUUUAAAUAAACUGAAAUAAAACAAUCCAAGGGAUUAGCAACGUUGCUAAUCCCCAGCAACAGCGCCAAAAAAUUUGAUGCACAAUAUAUAAGCACACAAAUUAAACCCUCUUUUUAUCAAUUGUAGCAAAGUAUGUAAGUAGGGAUCGUUCUAGGCCGGGGAUUAUGAGGGAUUGCUAAAUCACUUGAAAACUAACUCAAAACGUAAAAACAAAGUUUAAAACACUAAACUAGACUCAAAGAAUGUAAAACUAAACUCUAAAACACUAAAACAAACCAAAAGACUCAAAACAGCACAGAAACACUCCAAACUGCCUUAAAAACACAAUCUGGGCAGUUUUGAACACCAAACACAAAUUUGGACGAAAAUAGGUUAGAACUUGACUCAAGACACACUACAAAAAAAAAGCCCUUUUGGGAUAGUCAAAACGUGUCGCAAAAACAGCAAAAAGCGUCGCAACAAGC